rnacentral:lncRNA from 1 species
UAUCCAUUUUUUGUUCAAGUUGCCAGUAAUUGAGAGAGAAACUGAUGACAUCAACAUUUUGACACCCCACAAUUAAUUAUCACACGUAAUACAACCAACACCACACUUUUGUUUAACACAUAAAGAUGCAUCUGAUUUUUCUAUACUAUAUCACUAAAAUUAAUAGAAUUCAAAAUUCACUCACAUCUAGUAAAUACUAAACUUUACUCAAAACCUCAACUCCUAAAUAAUAAACCCUAAACUUUAAACAUCACCCUUCCAUCUAAAUACUAAACCCUAAAUCCUAAUUACUGAAUCCUAAACCCAAAUAUAAACUUUAAACCCAAUUAUCAAAAUAUGAAAAUAGUAUAUAAUAUUAUGUAAUAUUAAACUAAAUCCAAACAAAACUCUUCAAUGCUAAACUCAAACCUAACUUUUGAAUACUAAACACAAAAAUGCUAUCACUAAACCCAAACCUAAACUCCCACCUUCCAAACUAAACUCUAAAUCAUAAUCACUAAACCCUAAACUCAAGUAUAGACUCUAAACCCAAAUAGAAUGGAACAAAAUACAUAGUAUAGUACAAAUUAGUGAGCAAAAAAGAACACUCUUUAUUAAUCGUCGAAUGGGACAUAUCACUAAACCCAAACCUCAACCCCCACCUUCCAAAUACUAAACCCUAAAUCUUAAUCAUUAAACCCUAAACCUAAGUAUAAACUCUAAACCCAAAUAGUAUAG